rnacentral:rRNA from 1 species
CUUUCUUUGCUGGCGACCGGCGCACGGGUGAGUAACACGUAUCCAACCUGCCGAUAACUCCGGAAUAGCCUUUCGAAAGAAAGAUUAAUACCGGAUAGUAUACGAAUAUCGCAUGAUAUUUUUAUUAAAGAAUUUCGGUUAUCGAUGAGGAUGCGUUCCAUUAGUUUGUUGGCGGGGUAACGGCCCACCAAGACUACGAUGGAUAGGGGUUCUGAGAGGAAGGUCCCCCACAUUGGAACUGAGACACGGUCCAA